rnacentral:rRNA from 1 species
CCUGGCUCAGAUUGAACGCUGGCGGCAGGCCUAACACAUGCAAGUCGAGCGGUAACAGAAAGAAAGCUUGCUUUCUUUGCUGACGAGCGGCGGACGGGUGAGUAAUGCCUGGGAAUAUACCUCAGUGUGGGGGAUAACUAUUGGAAACGAUAGCUAAUACCGCAUAAUCUCCGAUCUUUUACGAGAUGGGAGCAAAGCGGGGGACCUUCGGGCCUCGCGCGCUGAGAUUAGCCCAGGUGGGAUUAGCUAGUUGGUGGGGUAAUGGCUCACCAAGGCGACGAUCCCUAGCUGGUCUGAGAGGAUGAUCAGCCACACUGGAACUGAGACACGGUCCAGACUCCUACGGGAGGCAGCAGUGGGGAAUAUUGCACAAUGGGGGAAACCCUGAUGCAGCCAUGCCGCGUGUAUGAAGAAGGCCUUCGGUUGUAAGUACUUUCUAGUUGUGUAGGAAGGACGUUGGUAGUUAAGUAAGU